GCUUUGUGCAUUACCCUGAGUGGCCACCGAGUGUCACUGUUGCUCCAGGAGGGAAAUGCUUUGUGCAAUACCUGGAUUAGCCACCCAGUGUCACUGUUGGUCCAUGAGGGAAAUGGUUUGUGUAUUACCGGGAUUGGCCACCUGGUGUCACUGUUGCUCCAUGAGGGAAAUGCUUUGUGCAAUACCUGGAUUAGCCACCCAGUGUCACUGUUGG